AACGAACGCUGGCGGCAUGCCUCAUACAUGCAAGUCGAACGAGGUCUUCGGACCUAGUGGCGCACGGGUGAGUAACAUGUGGGAAUCUACCUGAAGGUUCGGAAUAACUGCGGGAAACUGUAGCUAAUACCGGAUGUGUCUGCAAAGAGAAAGAUUUAUCGCCUUCAGAUGAGCCCGCACUAGAUUAGCUAGUUGGUGAGGUAAUUGCUCCACCAAGGCUACGAUCUAUAGCUGAUUUGAGAGGAUGAUCAGCCACACUGGGACUGAGACACGGCCCAGACUCCUACGGGAGGCAGCAGUAGGGAAUAUUGGACAAUGGGGGAAACCCUGAUCCAGCAAUGCCGCGUGAGUGAAGAAGGCCUUCGGGUUGUAAAGCUCUUUCAUCAAUGAUGAUAAUGACAUUAGUUGAAGAAGAAGCCCCGGCUAACUUCGUGCCAGCAGCCGCGGUAAUACGAAGGGGGCUAGCGUUGUUCGGAAUCACUGGGCGUAAAGCGUAUGUAGGCGGAUCAAAAAGUUAGAUGUGAAAUCCCUGGGCUCAACCCAGGAACUGCAUUUAAAACUAGUGAUCUAGAAUUUGGUAGGGGCCAGUAGAAUUUCCAGUGUAGAGGUGAAAUUCGUAGAUAUUGGAAAGAAUACCAGUGGCGAAGGCGACUGGCUGGGCCAUUUUUGACGCUGAGAUACGAAAGCGUGGGUAGCAAACAGGAUUAGAUACCCUGGUAGUCCACGCAGUAAACGAUGAGUGCUAGUCGCUGGGACAAUAGUUUCAGUGUCGAAGCUAACGCAUUAAGCACUCCGCCUGGGAAGUACGGUCGCAAGAUUAAAACUCAAAUAAAUUGACGGGGGCCCGCACAAGCGGUGGAGCAUGUGGUUUAAUUCGAAGCAACGCGAAGAACCUUACCAGGCCUUGACAUGGUAUGUUUGAAUUACAGAAUCGUAAUUCUUCAGUUCGGCUGGCAUACACACAGGUGCUGCAUGGCUGUCGUCAGCUCGUGUCGUGAGAUGUUGGGUUAAGUCCCGCAACGAGCGCAACCCUCAUUUUUAGUUGCCAUCAGGUUAAGCUGGGCACUCUAAAAAAACUGCCGGUGAUAAGCUGGAGGAAGGCGGGGAUGACGUCAAGUCCUCAUGGCCCUUACGGUCUGGGCUACACACGUGCUACAAUGGUGGUGACAGUGGGCAGCAAUACUGCAAAGUAAAGCUAAUCCCAAAAAGCCAUCUCAGUUCGGAUUGGACUCUGCAACUCGAGUCCAUGAAGUUGGAAUCGCUAGUAAUCGUAGAUCAGCGUGCUACGGUGAAUACGUUCUCGGGCCU
rnacentral:rRNA from 1 species